rnacentral:rRNA from 1 species
UACGGGGGGGGCAAGCGUUGUUCGGAAUUACUGGGCGUAAAGGCUCGUAGGCGGCCAACUAAGUCAGACGUGAAAUCCCUCGGCUUAACCGGGGAACUGCAUCUGAUACUGGAUGGCUUGAGUUCGGGAGAGGGAUGCGGAAUUCCAGGUGUAGCGGUGAAAUGCGUAGAUAUGCGGAGGAACACCGAUGGCGAAGGCAAUCCCCUGGGCCUGCACUGACGCUCAUGCACGAAACGCGUGGGGAGCAAACAGG